GGUAUGGCCAUAGCAGCGCCCCCUUUCCAUCGUAGAACAACCACGCGGACGGCCGCCGUGCAACACUCCUCACCCUCGCCUCUGGCAUAGCCGCCGGGAUGCAAUUGCCUGCCUGGCCUUCCUACUACAACAACUCCCAGGAUGCAACCGCCGUGCAGCACUCCUCACUGUCAAUGCCGUCCACGGCGACCAUAGCCACUCCCUCACGCAUUGAAGAGGAUGUUCCUCCGUCGCUUCCCUUGCCAUCGAAGUUAUCGUUUCGUCGCCGUCCAUUUCCGCAUGGUCUGCAUCCUCACAGCUCCCUUUCCUCUCCUGCAAGAACCUAAGAUCUGAAGAUGUCACUGCAACUACAAGUGAAAGGAUCCAAGAUCCUCACCAACAUACUUGCUUGAUGCUUUACAAUUACUGCUACGCUUGUAGAUAUAUAGAUAUACUUGGCUUGAAGUUGAAUUUCUACUAGUGUUGUUGGCUUGUUGCUGUACUCUUCCAUGGGUAUUGUCCAAUAGUAAUAUUCCAUGGGUAAUGUUCAAUAGCAUUCAUGGAACAGGAAAGAAUGCUAUUUAUAAAAUUAACUUACCAGGAUACUGAAGAUGUCUUGCUUGUGCUGCACAUACACUGGUAGUUUGUUUCUUUCUGUAACUGAAACGUUGAGUUUACUGAAUCUUGUGUCUUUCUGUAACUGAAACGUUGCGUUUACUGAAUCUCGUUUCUUUCUGUACACUGGCUAGUGAUCCUCGGCUGUACAUGUACUGCAGUAGUUUGUGUCUUUCUAUGACUGAGAGAAGUAGACAAACAUCAUCGGCUGCACUAAAUAGUGUUAUUUCGUACGAAUGUAUUGAUGUUUCCCUGUCAAGUUGCCCUAUGUGGGUGUAUGCCAUGGCCAGGGACUGGUGUCAACUGACACAAGUCAUAUCUUGCAAUUUCUUCAUAAAUUUGUGUUAAUUACUGUCCAUAUACGUAUGCUGACCCCUUUGCAAUGAAGGCUGACACUAUAGUAGUUUUUGUCUAGCUUCGUCCCUGGCCAUGGCGGCUGCGACCACGACCACAACUCCUGUAUUUUUGUAUUUUGGAGUGUCCCACGUUUUGUGUAAAUAGUCCCAAGUUUUCUUUUUGACUAUGUAAAAUAUUACCAAGUUAAUAUCGGAACCACUGUCCUAUACUGAACCAUACUGCCACAUUCAGCGUAUUUGACCUUGGUAGUUUGCUUACCACAUUCAGGCUACAUUUGAUUUCAUUUAAUCUCUAAAGCCUAGCUUAUUUUUGCUUACAACAGCUUCAGUAUAGACUUGAAUAGAUAUUUUUCUGGUCACUUUUUUAUGCCUGCUUUAAGUACCCCAUUUCUUCUGAAAUUGACUGAAAUUAUGAUAUUACUUAUAGAAGGGCACGGUGAUGAAUUCAACGCAAGAUCCUGCUAAUAGCAGACCGAGUACAAUACACGGCAACUUGAUAAUAAUAUUUAUGUUCACUUCGAUAGCUAGGGACGCGUCAGGUAAUGUGCACGCUUCAGAGGAAAGAGAUGAUGCACAUUACUCCUUUCUGCAAGGUACACAACAUCCUUAAUUCUUAAUGACUUAUCUGAAUGGUGCAUAUUGAUAAUGCUAAGUCCCUUAAUUGUUUUUGUGUUCAGUAAAGAAAGGAUUUGCUCCGUAACAAGGAUGGAAAGUAUUUGCCAAAAAAAAACAAGGAUGGAAAGUAUAACAGCUUACAAAAACCAACGUGGACAACACAGAUCUGGAACUCGAGUAAAUCAUACUCACAAAUAAGUUUUUGAGAAGAGAGACUUGGAAACCAGAGAAGAGGAGCGAAGAUCAAGACUAGAAUUUGAAAAAAAAAACAUGAUGGCAAAGUUUACAAAAUUGAGCCAACAGAUGGGAACCCAACAGAUGAUUACAUUCAUAUGCUUGCGACCUUGUAAGAUUUAUGUUGCUUAAUUGCAUUGCUAAAAGUGCACUUCUAUUUUCAGGUGCUAACGAAGAGGAUUAACAAAGAAAAUAGUAUCCAAACUUGCAAAAUACUCUUUUACAUAGAUCUACUCC